rnacentral:lncRNA from 1 species
GCUGCAUGUCUGUGAAUGGGUGGAAGUCGAUUUGGCAGUAUGUUUGUAGCCGGGUUCCGGGAAAGAGUUGAAUUAGAAGCUUGGGUUCUCACCUGCAAGUCGCACUGCUGAAGGACUUAGGACUCCAGUUACCUUAAGAACGGAAGGUUCGCGACUCUCGGAGUACGUAAGAGAAAGCAUCGGAAUCCAGUUUGGAUGCAGGUACUGUGCACUGGUGACGGGACAAUGG